rnacentral:rRNA from 1 species
UACAGAGGUCUUAAGCGUUGUUCGGAUUCAUUGGGCGUAAAGGGUGCGUAGGUGGCGGGGUAAGUCAGGUGUGAAAUCUCGGAGCUCAACUCCGAAACUGCACUUGAUACUGCCUUGCUCGAGUACUGGAGAGGAGAUUGGAAUUUACGGUGUAGCAGUGAAAUGCGUAGAUAUCGUAAGGAAGACCAGUGGCGAAGGCGAAUCUCUGGACAGUUACUGACACUGAGGCACGAAGGCCAGGGGAGCAAACAGG